UGCGUAGGCGGAAUAGUAAGUCAGUGGUGAAAGCCUGCGGCUCAACCGUAGAAUUGCCAUUGAUACUGUUAUUCUUGAGUAUAGUUGAGGUGGGCGGAAUGUGUAAUGUAGCGGUGAAAUGCAUAGAUAUUACACAGAACACCAAUUGCGAAGGCAGCUCACUAAACUAUCACUGACGCUGAGGCACGAAAGCGUGGGGAGCAAGCAGGAUUAGAUACCCUGGUAGUCC
rnacentral:rRNA from 1 species